GUUUUUGUAGUUGAAUAACAACGGCAGUUUUUCGGAUUGGAAGUCUUAGUUAAAGUCUAGGCAAGAAUA
rnacentral:tRNA from 1 species